rnacentral:rRNA from 1 species
AUGGACAGUGUUCCAGCUCUCGCGCUCUGCUGCCUAAUCUUGCUACCGAGCUGGGCCAAUGGCCUCGGCUCCAUGGGAUCCAUCUCGGUGUCCUACGGCGAGGACGGCCCGGUGUUCUGCGGCCUCAGCUCGGACGGCUCCCACUUGGUCACCUGCUCCGGCGCGGACGCAUCUGUCGUCUACGGUGCUCCCCUCAGGAUCCCCUUCCUCGGCCUCACCGCGGGGGAUGGGUUCGCGUGCGGUCUCUUGCUUGAUACCAGUCAGCCUUACUGCUGGGGGAGCAACUCAUAUGUCAAGAUCGGGGUGCCGCAACCAAUGGUCGAGGGCGUGGAGUAUUCCCUGCUCAGUGCCGGGGACAACCACCUGUGUGCACUGCGAAUGCCUGACAAGGGGAUUCCUCACGGUGUUAACCCUGAUACUUCAGUGAUAGAUUGCUGGGGGUACAACAUGACUGCCACACAUGUUGUCGCUGGAGCCGUGUCGACCAUAUCAGCGGGCUCGGUGUUCAAUUGUGCCUUGUUUACGCGCAACAGGACAGUGUUCUGCUGGGGUGAUGAGACAGUGAGUGGUGUGAUUGAGCUGGCUCCGAGGAAUGUCAAGUUUCAGUCCAUAGGAGCAGGUGGCUACCAUGUCUGUGGGGUGCUGGAGAAUGCACAAGUCUUCUGCUGGGGAAGGAGCUUGGAGAUGCAGCAGGUGUCGCCUACCGGUGCUAUCGGUGAAGGCGAUGUGAGCAUAGUGCCGAUGGAUGCAAUGGUCUCCGUUGUGGGCGGACGAUUCCAUGCUUGUGGCAUCAGGAGCCUUGAUCACCAAGUAGCUUGCUGGGGUUUCCAACUUCAGAACAGUACAUCAGCACCCAAAGGUCUCAGGUUGUAUACAAUAGUGGCUGGAGACUACUUUACUUGUGGUGUGCCUGCUGAGACAUCGAUGAAGCCAAGGUGUUGGGGCAAUAGUGGGCCAUUGGCACUACCAAUGGCGGUAUCACCCGGGAUUUGUGUAUCUUCUGCAUGCAGCCCCGGAUACUACGAGUAUGUUAACCAUGGUGAGCUUGGUGGCAGCAAGUCUUGCAAGCCUGGAAACUCUAGACUCUGCUUGCCCUGCAGUGCUGGCUGCCCAGACAACUCGUAUGAGUCCUCGCCCUGCAAUGCCACGGCUGACCGUGUGUGCCAGUUUGAUUGCUCGAGGUGUGUCUCAGAUGAGUGUUUGUCAUACUGCACAUCCCGGAAGCAGACCAACAACCAUAAGUCAAUGGAUUUUCAGAUGCGCAUUUUUGUGGCAGAGAUUGCAUUUGCUGUCAUUUUGAUUUUCACCGUGACAGCCAUUUCUUGCCUAUAUGUACGACACAAGCUUCGAGAUUGCCGAUGUUCGAAGAGCAAGUUGAGGAUGACAAAGAGUGCAACAUACUCUUUUCGAAAGGAUAACACGAAGAUCCAGCCUGACGUGGAAGAUCUGAAGAUCAGGAGAGCUCAGGAAUUUUCCUAUGAGGAGUUGGAACAAGCAACCGAUGGCUUCUCGGAGGAUUCACAAGUUGGCAAAGGCAGCUUUUCAUGUGUAUUCAGGGGCAUUCUGAGAGAUGGGACAGUCGUUGCUGUGAAGCGUGCAAUAAAAGUAUCGGAUGCGAAGAAAAGCUCAAAGGAGUUCCAUACUGAACUUGACCUCCUCUCUAGGCUCAACCAUGCACAUUUGCUCGACCUACUUGGUUACUGUGAGGAUGGCAGCGAGAGGCUCUUGGUUUAUGAGUUCAUGGCUCAUGGAUCCCUGUACCAGCAUCUGCAUGGCAAGGAUUCAAACUUGAAGAAGCAACUGAACUGGACCAGGCGGGUUACCAUUGCUGUCCAGGCUGCUCGUGGAAUAGAGUAUUUGCAUGGCUAUGCUUGCCCACCAGUAAUUCACCGAGACAUCAAGUCUUCAAACAUAUUGAUCGAUGAGGACCACAAUGCGCGUGUUGCCGACUUUGGUCUAUCUAUAAUGGGCCCUGUAGAUAGCGGCACACCACUCUCAGAGCUGCCGGCAGGGACACUUGGGUACCUUGACCCUGAGUACUACCGUCUCCAUUACUUGACGACAAAGUCGGAUGUCUACAGCUUUGGAGUAGUUCUUCUAGAAAUCCUAAGUGGCAGGAAAGCCAUUGACAUGCAGCUUGAGGAGGGCAAUAUUGUUGAAUGGGCAGCCCCGUUGAUCAAAGCUGGGGACAUUUCUGGCAUCCUUGAUCCAGCCUUAUCUCCUCCCUCUGACCUGGAGGCUCUGAAGAAGAUUGCAGCUGUGGCAUGCAAGUGCGUGAGAAUGCGAGGCAAAGACCGGCCUUCCAUGGACAAGGUGACAACAUCUCUAGAGCGUGCACUUGCGCUGCUGAUGGGCAGCCCAUGCCUGGAGCAACCCAUUCUGCCAACUGAAGUUGUUCUCGGGAGCAGCCGGAUGCACAAAAAGGUAUCACAGAGGUCAUCCAAUCAGUCGUGCUCAGAGAACGAGCUCGUUGAUGGGGACGACCAGCGGAUCGAGUACAGGGCACCAUCUUGGAUAACGUUUCCAAGCGUGACCUCGUCGCAGAGGAGGAAAUCAUCAGCGUCGGAAGCCGACCUGGAUGGCCGAACAACCACAGAUGGGAGGAACGUCGGGAGCAGCAUAGGAGAUGGUCUGCGGUCAUUGGAGGAAGAGAUUGGGCCGGCGUCGCCACAGGAGGACUUGUACUUGCAGCACAACUUCUGA